rnacentral:rRNA from 1 species
GACGAACGCUGGCGGCGUGCUUAACACAUGCAAGUCGAACGAAGUGGCGAACGGGUGAGUAACGCGUAAUCAACCUGCCCUUCAGAGGGGGACAACAGUUGGAAACGACUGCUAAUACCGCAUACUGAAGGAGGGGAUGGCGUCUGAUUAGCGAGUUGGAGGGGUAACGGCCAACCAAGGCGAUGAUCAGUAGCCGGUCUGAGAGGUUGAACCGCCACAUUGGGACUGGGACACGGCCCAGACUCCUACGGGAGGCAGCCGUGGGGAAUCUUCCGCCAUGGACGAAAGUCUGACGGAGCAACGCCGCGUGAGUGAUGACGGCCUUCGGGUUGUAAAGCUCUGUUAAUCGGGACGCGGUACCGGAAUAGAAAGCCACGGCUAACUACGUGCCAGCAGCCGCGGUAAUAC